CGGGCUGUGGCGCAGCUUGGUAGCGCGCUUCGUUCGGGACGAAGAGGCCGCGAGUUCAAAUCUCGCCAGCCGAC
rnacentral:tRNA from 1 species